AACCGCGGUCAUACGAGUGUUAGCCCAAACGGAUAAUCUACGGCGUAAAGAGUGGUUAGGGGCCAUUACAACUAAAACUGAACACUCUCCGAGCCGUUAUACGCAUCCGAGAGCAUGAAAACCCACCACGAAAGUGACUUUAACUCAGCCCGAACCCACGACAACUAGGACA
rnacentral:rRNA from 1 species